CCUACGGGAGGCAGCAGUGAGGAAUAUUGGUCAAUGGACGAGAGUCUGAACCCGCCAAGUAGCGUGAAGGAUGACUGCCCUAUGGGUUGUAAACUUCUUUUAUAUGGGAAUAAAACGUUCCACGUGUGGGAUUUUGUAUGUACCAUAUGAAUAAGGAUCGGCUAACUCCGUGCCAGCAGCCGCGGUAAUACGGAGGAUCCGAGCGUUAUCCGGAUUUAUUGGGUUUAAAGGGAGCGUAGGUGGAUUGUUAAGUCAGUUGUGAAAGUUUGCGGCUCAACCGUAAAAUUGCAGUUGAAACUGGCAGUCUUGAGUACAGUAGAGGUGGGCGGAAUUCGUGGUGUAGCGGUGAAAUGCUUAGAUAUCACGAAGAACUCCGAUUGCGAAGGCAGUUCACUGGACUGCAACUGACACUGAGGCUCGAAAGUGUGGGUAUCAAACAGGAUUAGAUACCCGUGUAGUC
rnacentral:rRNA from 1 species